rnacentral:rRNA from 1 species
CGGACGGGUGAGUAACACGUGGAUAACCUACCUAUAAGACUGGGAUAACUUCGGGAAACCGGAGCUAAUACCGGAUAAUAUAUUGAACCGCAUGGUUCAAUAGUGAAAGACGGUUUUGCUGUCACUUAUAGAUGGAUCCGCGCCGCAUUAGCUAGUUGGUAAGGUAACGGCUUACCAAGGCGACGAUGAGUAGCCGACCUGAGAGGGUGAUCGGCCACACUGGAACUGAGACACGGUCCAG